rnacentral:rRNA from 1 species
AUUGAACGCUGGCGGCAGGCCUAACACAUGCAAGUCGAACGGUAGCAGGAAGAAGCUUGCUUCUUCGCUGACGAGUGGCGGACGGGUGAGUAAUGUCUGGGAAACUGCCUGAUGGAGGGGGAUAACUACUGGAAACGGUAGCUAAUACCGCAUAACGUCGCAAGACCAAAGAGGGGGACCUUCGGGCCUCUUGCCAUCGGAUGUGCCCAGAUGGGAUUAGCUUGUUGGUGGGGUAACGGCUCACCAAGGCGACGAUCCCUAGCUGGUCUGAGAGGAUGACCAGCCACACUGGAACUGAGACACGGUCCAGACUCCUACGGGAGGCAGCAGUGGGGAAUAUUGCACAAUGGGCGCAAGCCUGAUGCAGCCAUGCCGCGUGUAUGAAGAAGGCCUUCGGGUUGUAAAGUACUUUCAGCGGGGAGGAAGGGAGUAAAGUUAAGACCUUUGCUCAUUGACGUUACCCGCAGAAGAAGCACCGGCUAACUCCGU